CGAGUGGCGGACGGGUGAGUAAUGCUUGGGAACUUGCCUUUGCGAGGGGGAUAACAGUUGGAAACGACUGCUAAUACCGCAUAAUGUCUUCGGACCAAACGGGGCUUCGGCUCCGGCGCAAAGAGAGGCCCAAGUGAGAUUAGCUAGUUGGUAAGGUAACGGCUUACCAAGGCGACGAUCUCUAGCUGUUCUGAGAGGAAGAUCAGCCACACUGGGACUGAGACACGGCCCAGACUCCUACGGGAGGCAGCAGUGGGGAAUAUUGCACAAUGGGGGAAACCCUGAUGCAGCCAUGCCGCGUGUGUGAAGAAGGCCUUCGGGUUGUAAAGCACUUUCAGUUGUGAGGAAAAGUUAGUAGUUAAUACCUGCUAGCCGUGACGUUAACAACAGAAGAAGCACCGGCUAACUCCGUGCCAGCAGCCGCGGUAAUACGGAGGGUGCGAGCGUUAAUCGGAAUUACUGGGCGUAAAGCGCACGCAGGCGGUUUGUUAAGCUAGAUGUGAAAGCCCCGGGCUCAACCUGGGAUGGUCAUUUAGAACUGGCAGACUAGAGUCUUGGAGAGGGGAGUGGAAUUCCAGGUGUAGCGGUGAAAUGCGUAGAUAUCUGGAGGAACAUCAGUGGCGAAGGCGACUCNCUGGCCAAAGACUGACGCUCAUGUGCGAAAGUGUGGGUAGCGAACAGGAUUAGAUACCCUGGUAGUCCACACCGUAAACGCUGUCUACUAGCUGUGUGUG
rnacentral:rRNA from 1 species